rnacentral:rRNA from 1 species
ACGAUAAAGCGGGUGAAAAGCCCGCUCGCCGGAAGACCAAGGGUUCCUGUCCAACGUUAAUCGGGGCAGGGUGAGUCGACCCCUAAGGCGAGGCCGAAAGGCGUAGUCGAUGGGAAACAGGUUAAUAUUCCUGUACUUGGUGUUACUGCGAAGGGGGGACGGAGAAGGCUAUGUUGGCCGGGCGACGGUUGUCCCGGUUUAAGCGUGUAGGCUGGUUUUCCAGGCAAAUCCGGAAAAUCAAGGCUGAGGCGUGAUGACGAGGCACUACGGUGCUGAAGCAACAAAUGCCCUGCUUCCAGGAAAAGCCUCUAAGCAUCAGGUAACAUCAAAUCGUACCCCAAACCGACACAGGUGGUCAGGUAGAGAAUACCAAGGCGCUUGAGAGAACUCGGGUGAAGGAACUAGGCAAAAUGGUGCCGUAACUUCGGGAGAAGGCACGCUGAUAUGUAGGUGAAGUCCCUUGCGGAUGGAGCUGAAAUCAGUCGAAGAUACCAGCUGGCUGCAACUGUUUAUUAAAAACACAGCACUGUGCAAACACGAAAGUGGACGUAUACGGUGUGACGCCUGCCCGGUGCCGGAAGGUUAAUUGAUGGGGUCAGCGCAAGCGAAGCUCUUGAUCGAAGCCCCGGUAAACGGCGGCCGUAACUAUAACGGUCCUAAGGUAGCGAAAUUCCUUGUCGGGUAAGUUCCGACCUGCACGAAUGGCGUAAUGAUGGCCAGGCUGUCUCCACCCGAGACUCAGUGAAAUUGAACUCGCUGUGAAGAUGCAGUGUACCCGCGGCAAGACGGAAAGACCCCGUGAACCUUUACUAUAGCUUGACACUGAACAUUGAGCCUUGAUGUGUAGGAUAGGUGGGAGGCUUUGAAGUGUGGACGCCAGUCUGCAUGGAGCCGGCCUUGAAAUACCACCCUUUAAUGUUUGAUGUUCUAACGUGGACCCGUGAUCCGGGUUGCGGACAGUGUCUGGUGGGUAGUUUGACUGGGGCGGUCUCCUCCUAAAGAGUAACGGAGGAGCACGAAGGUUGGCUAAUCCUGGUCGGACAUCAGGAGGUUAGUGCAAUGGCAUAAGCCAGCUUGACUGCGAGCGUGACGGCGCGAGCAGGUGCGAAAGCAGGUCAUAGUGAUCCGGUGGUUCUGAAUGGAAGGGCCAUCGCUCAACGGAUAAAAGGUACUCCGGGGAUAACAGGCUGAUACCGCCCAAGAGUUCAUAUCGACGGCGGUGUUUGGCACCUCGAUGUCGGCUCAUCACAUCCUGGGGCUGAAGUAGGUCCCAAGGGUAUGGCUGUUCGCCAUUUAAAGUGGUACGCGAGCUGGGUUUAGAACGUCGUGAGACAGUUCGGUCCCUAUCUGCCGUGGGCGCUGGAGAACUGAGGGGGGCUGCUCCUAGUACGAGAGGACCGGAGUGGACGCAUCACUGGUGUUCGGGUUGUCAUGCCAAUGGCACUGCCCGGUAGCUAAAUGCGGAAGAGAUAAGUGCUGAAAGCAUCUAAGCACGAAACUUGCCCCGAGAUGAGUUCUCCCUGACCCUUUAAGGGUCCUGAAGGAACGUUGAAGACGACGACGUUGAUAGGCCGGGUGUGUAAGCGCAGCGAUGCGUUGAGCUAACCGGUACUAAUGAACCGUGAGGCUUAACCUUACAACGCCGAAG